rnacentral:rRNA from 1 species
GGGUGAGUAACACGUGAGUAACCUGCCCCAGGCUUUGGGAUAACCCCGGGAAACCGGGGCUAAUACCGGAUAUGACUGGCUGCCGCAUGGUGGUUGGUGGAAAGAUUUUUCGGCUUGGGAUGGACUCGCGGCCUAUCAGCUUGUUGGUGGGGUAAUGGCCUACCAAGGCGGCGACGGGUAGCCGGCCUGAGAGGGCGACCGGCCACACUGGGACUGAGACACGGCCCAGACUCCUACGGGAGGCAGCAGUGGGGAAUCUUGCACAAUGGGCGGAAGCCUGAUGCAGCGACGCCGCGUGAGGGAUGACGGCCUUCGGGUUGUAAACCUCUUUCAGCAGGGACGAAGCGUUUGUGACGGUACCUGCAGAAGAAGCGCCGGCCAACUACGUGCCAGCAGCCGCGGUAAGACGUAGGGCGCGAGCGUUGUCCGGAUUUAUUGGGCGUAAAGAGCUCGUAGGCGGCUUGUCGCGUCGACUGUGAAAACCCGUGGCUCAACUUCGGGCUUGCAGUCGAUACGGGCAGGCUAGAGUUCGGUAGGGGAGACUGGAAUUCCUGGUGUAGCGGUGAAAUGCGCAGAUAUCAGGAGGAACACCGGUGGCGAAGGCG